GACGAACGCUGGCGGCGUGCCUAAUACAUGCAAGUUGAGCGAUGAAGAUUGGUGCUUGCACCCAUUUGAAGAGCAGCGAACGGGUGAGUAACGCGUGGGGAAUCUGCCUUUGAGCGGGGGACAACAUUUGGAAACGAAUGCUAAUACCGCAUAAUAACUUUAAACAUAAGUUUUAAGUUUGAAAGAUGCAAUUGCAUCACUCAAAGAUGAUCCCGCGUUGUAUUAGCUAGUUGGUGAGGUAAAGGCUCACCAAGGCGAUGAUACAUAGCCGACCUGAGAGGGUGAUCGGCCACAUUGGGACUGAGACACGGCCCAAACGCCUACGGGAGGCAGCAGUAGGGAAUCUUCGGCAAUGGACGAAAGUCUGACCGAGCAACGCCGCGUGAGUGAAGAAGGUUUUCGGAUCGUAAAACUCUGUUGGUAGAGAAGAACGUUGGUGAGAGUGGAAAGCUCAUCAAGUGACGGUAACUACCCAGAAAGGGACGGCUAACUACGUG
rnacentral:rRNA from 1 species